rnacentral:rRNA from 5 species
GACCUCAAAUCAGGUAGGACUACCCGCUGAACUUAAGCAUAUCAAUAAGCGGAGGAAAAGAAACUAACAAGGAUUCCCCUAGUAACUGCGAGUGAAGCGGGAAAAGCUCAAAUUUAAAAUCUG